GGCUCGGCGCUGGCGCGGCCCGCCAUGGCUUACCAGGGCUUCGCGCAGGAGUACCUGGGCAUGCCGGCCGUGACGCGGGCCUACACCACGGCCUGCGUGCUCACCACCGCCGCCGUGCAGCUGGAGUUCAUCACCCCCUUCCAGCUGUACUUCAACCCUGACCUCAUCUUCAGGAAGUUCCAGAUAUGGAGGCUGAUCACCAACUUCCUCUUUUUUGGGCCCCUGGGAUUCAGUUUCUUUUUCAACAUGAUAUUUCUGUACAGGUACUGCCGCAUGCUGGAAGAAGGCUCCUUCCGUGGAAGGACAGCUGACUUUGUCUUCAUGUUUCUCUUUGGAGGAUUUCUCAUGACACUGUUUGGCCUCUUUGCCAGCCUGUUUUUCUUGGGCCAAGCUUUCACCAUCAUGCUGGUGUAUGUGUGGAGUCGCAGGAACCCUUACAUCCGUAUGAACUUUUUUGGGCUCCUUAACUUCCAGGCUCCCUUCUUGCCCUGGGUCCUGAUGGGAUUCUCCCUGCUUCUGGGUAAUUCAAUCAUCAUCGACUUAUUGGGGAUUGCAGUGGGUCACAUCUAUUAUUUCCUGGAGGAUGUCUUCCCCAACCAGCCAGGAGGAAAGAAGUUGCUGUUAACCCCAGGCUUCCUGAAGAUGGUAUUUGACACACCGGAAGAGGAUCCCAAUUAUAACACUCUCCCUGAGGAUCAGCCAGAAAACCAGCCUGGAGACCAAGACCAGAACCAGCAGCAGCGUCCACAAUAACGCAGAGGACUCUUCCAUGUGACCAGAUUCUUCUCUUUCUGCCGGACUUUUGCCGUGCCCCAGAGAUCCUACUGGAGUAACACCAGUUGCCAUUCUAGGAGAGGAUGAAAAAACAAUACAGGUGCUAAUCUUGUUCUGGAAGAUGCUGCUUCUGCAGGCUAAGCAGCCUCAGACUCAACAAGUGCUUGCUCUGUGCUUUGCUCUUGACAGAGCUGGUGUUUGAAUCCCUGAAAGGAGUUUCUUCAAGGGCCUGAACAGAACUGUUGGGCUGCCAGCAAAAUCUGCCAUGCUUGCAACGCUCUUCGUUUCCUGGCAGAGAAAGCACUGCAGAUGGAAUUUGUCAAAGCAACUGCAGCAGUUCCCUCCUCACAACAACCCACUACAUAACUGGCUGACAGUGUUCAAACUGACUUUUCAGGAUGAAAAGGCCCCGGAAAUAAUAAAUCAUCGAAGGACUCAAAGGUUCAAAUAGAGAGGCAAUGAUCAACAUAAAACUGAGUGGCUGAACAGACACAUCAAAUAUUACUGAAAGCAGAGUCUCCUUCAGCAAAGGAGCACAGGCUGAGAAGACUUCAAGAAGGGGCAAAAACCAUGGGAUAGAUCUGGCUGAACUGCAGAAACUAUGUGUACUUUAAGAGUCCAUAAUGUUCUGGGAAGGAAGAGUUAAGCAUAUGAUCAGGAUGGACAAUUAAGGCAACCACAAAGAGAGUUCAGAGGAAGAAAAUGAGACAUUAGUAUAUAUUUUAAUAGCACCAAAGGUCAGAGUGGAGAUUCCUUCUCUAGCAAAGCUAAGAAUAACACACAGAUAAGACUUACAUCUUCUUGGACUGUGAGAUCGCUGAUUUUCUGUUGGGGAAAGAAAAAAAUGACAACAAGUCAGCAGGAUACAUGGAAGGAGGAGACAUUAAGUGCAUAAUGAAUAAUUUUUAUUAUGCUCUAGCCUGAAGAGUGUACAACAGGUUAUUCUGCUAGGAAAUUUAAUUUCUUGUUAUUAGCCUCCCACCAAGAACAACCUGAAACAGCAGUAUUCUCACUGUGACAGUUAUAUCAGUAGCAA